CCUACGGGUGGCAGCAGUGGGGAAUAUUGCGCAAUGGGCGAAAGCCUGACGCAGCGACGCCGCGUGAGUGAUGAAGGUCUUCGGAUCGUAAACCACUGUCAGCAGGGAAGAACGGUCACUGUGCUAAUCAGCAGUGAAUUGACGGUACCUGCAAAGGAAGCACCGGCUAACUCCGUGCCAGCAGCCGCGGUAAUACGGAGGGUGCGAGCGUUAAUCGGAAUUACUGGGCGUAAAGCGCUCGUAGGCGGUAUGUCAAGUCAAGGGUGAAAUCCCCGCGCUCAACGUGGGAACUGCCUUUGAAACUGGCAAGCUGGAGUGUGUGAGAGGAUGGUAGAAUUCCAGGUGUAGGAGUGAAAGCCGUAGAGAUCUGGAGGAACAUCAGUGGCGAAGGCGACUAUCUGGCACAUGACUGACGCUGAGGAGCGAAAGCGUGGGUAGCAAACAGGAUUAGAUACCCUGGUAGUC
rnacentral:rRNA from 1 species